GAUGAACGCUGGCGGCGUGCCUAACACAUGCAAGUCGAGCGAUUCUCUUCGGAGAAGAGCGGCGGACGGGUGAGUAACGCGUGGGUAACCUGCCCUGUACACACGGAUAACAUACCGAAAGGUAUGCUAAUACGAGAUAAUAUGCUUUUAUCGCAUGGUAGAAGUAUCAAAGCUCCGGCGGUACAGGAUGGACCCGCGUCUGAUUAGCUAGUUGGUAAGGUAACGGCUUACCAAGGCGACGAUCAGUAGCCGACCUGAGAGGGUGAUCGGCCACAUUGGAACUGAGACACGGUCCAAACUCCUACGGGAGGCAGCAGUGGGGAAUAUUGCACAAUGGGCGAAAGCCUGAUGCAGCAACGCCGCGUGAGCGAUGAAGGCCUUCGGUCGUAAGCUCUGUCCUCAAGGAAGAUAAUGACGGUACUUGAGGAGGAAGACCCCGGCUAACUACGUG
rnacentral:rRNA from 1 species